UACGUAGGCAGCGAGCGUUGUUCGGAAUUACUGGGCGUAAAGAGUGUGUAGGCGGUGCUCUAAGUUCGGUGUGAAAUCUCCUGGCUCAACUGGGAGGGUGCGCCGGAAACUGGAGUGCUUGAGCGUGGGAGAGGAAAGCGGAAUUCCUGGUGUAGCGGUGAAAUGCGUAGAUAUCAUUUGGAACGCCAAUGGUGAAAACAGGUUGCUGGGAGUGUGCUGACGCUGAGACACGAAAGCCAGGGGAGCGAACGGG
rnacentral:rRNA from 1 species